rnacentral:rRNA from 1 species
AACGAACGCUGGCGGCGUGCCUAAUACAUGCAAGUCGAACGGUGAAGCAAUACCUAGUGGCGCACGGGUGGGUAACGCGUGGAUAAGCGGCCCUUCCGUGGGGAAUAACUCUCCGAAAGGAGGGCAAAUACCGCAUAGGAUGACAAUGACUGUGGUCACAGGGGUUAUAGGAGCAAUUCGCUGGAGGAUGAGUCGGCGUCGGAUUGUGCUAGUUGGUGGGGUAACGGCCUACCAAGCCUUCGAUGUGUAGCUGGUCGGGGAGGAUGAUCAGCCACACUGGAACUGAGACGCGGUACCGACUCCUACGGGAGGAAGCAGUAGGGAAUAUUGGUCCAUGGGCGACAGGUUGAAUAAGCAACGCCGCGUGUGCGACGAAGGCCUUAGGAGUGUAAAGCUCUGUUGCCAGGUAAGAAAAAAAUGACGGUACUUUGCGAGAAAGCACCGGCCAACUUCGUG